UAAGGAAUAUUGGUCAAUGGAGGGAACUCUGAACCAGCCNUGCCGCGUGCAGGAAGACGGCCCUAUGGGUUGUAAACUGCUUUUAUUCGGGAAUAAACCUACCCUCGUGAGGGUAGCUGAAGGUACCGAAGGAAUAAGGAUCGGCUAACUCCGUGCCAGCAGCCGCGGUAAUACGGAGGAUCCAAGCGUUAUCCGGAUNUAUUGGGUUUAAAGGGUGCGUAGGCGGCUUGUUAAGUCAGGGGUGAAAGACGGUGGCUCAACCAUCGCAGUGCCUUUGAUACUGAUGAGCUUGAAUAUACAUGAGGUAGGCGGAAUGAGACAAGUAGCGGUGAAAUGCAUAGAUAUGUCUCAGAACACCGAUUGCGAAGGCAGCUUACUAAGGUAUGAUUGACGCUGAGGCACGAAAGCGUGGGUAUCAAACAGGAUUGGAUACCCUGGUAGUCCACGCCCUAAACGAUGAUAACUCGCUGUUAGCGAUACACAGUUAGCGGCUAAGCGAAAGCGUUAANGUUAUANCGCCUGGGGAAGUACCGCCCGCAAGGGUG
rnacentral:rRNA from 1 species